UACGUAGGGGGCUAGCGUUGUCCGGAUUUAUUGGGCGUAAAGAGCGUGUAGGCGGCCAGGUAGGUCCGUUGUGAAAACUCGAGGCUCAACCUCGAGACGUCGGCGGAAACCCUCUGGCUAGAGUCCGGAAGAGGAGAGUGGAAUUCCUGGUGUAGCGGUGAAAUGCGCAGAUAUCGGGAAGAACACCCGUGGCGAAGGCGGCACUCUGGGACGGUACUGACGCUGAGACGCGAAAGCGUGGGGAGCGAACAGG
rnacentral:rRNA from 1 species